rnacentral:rRNA from 1 species
GAUUAGGGCGUGAACGAUCGCCUAAACGAGGGCUCGACCCCGUGGAAGGAUCGCCUUUUUUGGUCGUUUCAGGCGUACGUUCAGCGUACGUCUAGCGCGGGAGGUUCCUUACGCGUAACUCAGGGCUCGAACCCGUGGAAAGGAUCGCCUUUUGGGUCGCUUUAAAGCGUACGUUUCAGGCGUACGCCCACGCGUUCCAGGCUCCUUACGUCCAAUAAGCUCUUUGUUCCGCGUCCCGUGAAUGAAUACAAAACCCGUUCCGUAGGUGACACUGCGGAAGGAUCAUUA